UACGGGGGGGGCAAGCGUUGUUCGGAAUUACUGGGCGUAAAGGGCUCGUAGGUUGCCAACUAAGUCAGACGUGAAAUCCCUCGGCUUAACCGGGGAGCUGCGUCUGAUACUGGAUGGCUUGAGUUCGGGAGAGGGAUGCGGAAUUCCAGGUGUAGCGGUGAAAUGCGUAGAUAUCUGGAGGAACACCGGUGGCGAAGGCGGCAUCCUGGACCGACACUGACACUGAGGAGCGAAAGCCAGGGGAGCAAACGGG
rnacentral:rRNA from 1 species